GGCGCUGCGUCCUGGCGGCCAGCGGGGGCUUAGUCUAGGCCCGGCAGGGUUUUCUGGAAGACCAGAGGGCCACCAGGUCACCGAGGUGGGAAGUGAAGAGAGGUUCGACGCUGCCUCAGGCCUGGGCCUGGCCGGUGGGAGACACAGCAAGGACUCUGGGAGCCUGCAGAGCAGAGGCCGCCGCGGGGCCGGGCCCCCGUCUCCUCCUCAGGUCCAAGACCAGAGGGUCUGCAGGGCCCCAGAGCAGCUGGCCGCGCUCCGCUUCCCACCGCGCUCUCUGCUGGAACUCAUGUGGUCUAGGGGUCAGAAAUCUGCAAUCAGUUUCGGUGGACCAAAAUGAAAAUGUCAAACAGGGUGUCUGACACCCUCCAGAAGCACCAGAGGAGAAGCAGCUUUCCUUGGCCUUCCCAGCCAAAUCUCCCUCUGCCUCUCUCCCCUGGUGACGACAAUGGCUGGGGUCUUGACUUGCCAAGGUAACUCGUUGGGGAGCAGAGAGUGGGAUCCGCAGUGUUCUGGUGGCUGUUGGGAUCUGGGCGCGAGGAAGGAGAGUGGCUCUCAUGAUUCUCUGCAUUCUCAGUGCAGCGUGGCCCGUACUGGUCACCUGGGUAUAGCUUUACUGAAUUUCGCAGAUCUGGAAACGGAGAAGGGACUGGAUCUCCAAACUUGGACUGCCUUGGACUGACCCUGGCCUGGAAGGUGUGGGCUCAGGACUCCGAGCUCAAGUCAGUCUGUUCCCCCAACCCCUAACCCACUGCAUCCGGGUGAGGAGUUGGGCCCGAGCGCCACAGCGCAGAUAGGGUUGUUAGGAGCGAAAGACUGGAGACCCAGGGACUGUGGGGCUGGGCUGGUGGGGCCACUGCUACCGACUAAGCAGUACGGGCCGCCUGGAAGACCGAAGGCGGAGUUCGCUGAUGCGGAAGCCAAGGCACAGGGCAAUAAGGAUCCGCGCCAUUUCUUGUGAUGUCACCUGAAGCCUUGGCGGGUAGCUGCCUCUCAUCCAUUCGGAGGACAGGGCUCCAGCCACCGGCAGCUCUGAAAGAGUUUGAAGAAUUUAUUGUUCACAGAUGGUAUUUAAAUGGACUUAUUUCUAAAAGUCACAUUCCUUUAUUACUUAUUUGUUAUUAGAAGUACCCAUUUUCAUAUGUGUUUAAAACUAUUUGUGUCUCAAAUUCUCAGGAGAUUGAUGCAUCCCAGUUUACUCUUUUUGGCAUAUGUUUUUACUCAUAAAUUAGGUUAAAUUUCAUACUUGUUUUAUAAAAUUUAGUUAUUUGGUUACAUUAAAAUAUUUGUAUCCAGAUAA
ensembl:lncRNA novel transcript